AAGAAUGGUUAUCAUAUGAUGUGUGUCUGGACCGAUCGGGGGCCCUCCGACAGAAAUGUCGGAGCGCAAAGCUAACUAUAUGCUGGAACAUCCGCCAGUAUCUUGGAAUACUCAUUCGACAUCAUUUUUGUGUCGGGUAGUGAAAAUUUCUCAAGUGAUGCGGACAAUCAGCAGGGAUAUCCUCAACGACUACACGUUAGCAUCCGACGAUAUUUUGCAUGACAAAAUAUAUCGGAGAUGAUAUAGUCUGAACUUUCUGGCGACAGAAAG
rnacentral:ncRNA from 1 species